rnacentral:rRNA from 1 species
AAUGAACGUUGGCGGCGUGGAUUAGGCAUGCAAGUCGAGCGCAACCCCGCAAGGGGAAGAGCGGCGAAAGGGACAGUAAUGUGUAGGUACCUGCCCUCAGGACUGGAAUAGCUGCGGGAAACUGCAGGUAAUGCCAGAUAAUAUCUCCGGAUCAAAGGUGUGAUUCCGCCGGGAGAUGGGCCUACAUCCUAUUAGCUAGUUGGUGAGGUAAUAGCUCACCAAGGCAAUGAUGGGUAGCAGGUGUGAGAGCACGACCUGCGUCACUGGGACUGAGACACUGCCCAGACACCUACGGGUGGCUGCAGUCGAGAAUCUUCGGCAAUGGGCGCAAGCCUGACCGAGCGACGCCGCGUGCGGGAUGAAGGCCUUCGGGUUGUAAACCGCUGUCGGAGGGGAGGAAAUGGCGGUGGGUUCUCCCAUCGUUUUGACCUAUCCUCGGAGGAAGUGUGGGCUAAGUUCGUGCCAGCAGCCGCAGUAACAC